rnacentral:rRNA from 1 species
CCUACGGGCGGCAGCAGUGGGGAAUAUUGGACAAUGGGCGAAAGCCUGAUCCAGCCAUGCCGCGUGUGUGAAGAAGGCCUUCGGGUUGUAAAGCACUUUCAGUGGGGAAGAAAGCCUUGGGGCUAAUACCCUCGAGGAAGGACAUCACCCACAGAAGAAGCACCGGCUAACUCCGUGCCAGCAGCCGCGGUAAUACGGAGGGUGCGAGCGUUAAUCGGAAUUACUGGGCGUAAAGCGCGCGUAGGCGGUCUGAUAAGCCGGUUGUGAAAGCCCCGGGCUCAACCUGGGAACGGCAUCCGGAACUGUCAGGAUAGAGUGCAGGAGAGGAAGGUAGAAUUCCCGGUGUAGCGGUGAAAUGCGUAGAGAUCGGGAGGAAUACCAGUGGCGAAGGCGGCCUUCUGGACUGACACUGACGCUGAGGUGCGAAAGCGUGGGUAGCAAACAGGAUUAGAUACCCUAGUAGUC